rnacentral:lncRNA from 1 species
ACUGCAUGUCCACUGUAGAAGAGAAUGUCACCCAUUGGGCAGUAAGAAUUCAGAGACAUUGUACAAGAAUCGAUUAGUGGGCAGCUGGAAGCUAGGGGUAAAUUGUUGGAUUAGCUUUAUUUAGAUGGCUUCAUGGCUUAUUAGCUCACCGUGAAGACUGGUCUAUGGUAAUUAGUGCAGACAUAGACCUGAGUCGACAACGCACAUGACGGCGUGCACUAUUGUACUACCUCCAUAACUAAAUAUAAGAUGUUUUUGGAGUUCAAAUUUGAACUGCAAAAACAUUUUAUAUUUAGUUACACAGGUAGUACGCCGUAUAACCAGAAAAGAAGGACAUGCCGAUGGAUGCUCGAAUUCCUUUUCACAUUCCCCAGGGUCUUGGAGUACCUUCUUUUUAUCUUUUAAUUAGCUUUCCUCUCGACUUAAGAGCCCCCUAUCAACAUCGUCUUCCUCCAACGGUUGCUAGCACCACAAACUCCUAUAUUGACUCUCCUCGAUUGUCAUCCCCAAUCUCCUUUGUCGACUCUCCUCAAUUGUCAUCGGCUCCAUCGAGGAAUCAGACGACCACCUCCAGUAAGUACCUAUAUGCAAUCAAUGGAUCAACGAUACUUCAGUUAUACUCCAAGCUGUGUUCAUUUAGAGAGAUUUCACAUGCCACCUCACAAGGUGGAUCACUGAAUUUGUUUGAUUGCCACAAGGAACCAUGCCCUGUCUAGAUGUCAAUCUACAUUCAUCACUACCACGAGUAAUAAAAUGAUUGUGCAAAAUUUUCCUCUUAUUUCUACCAAAUGGUAUUUAUGUUUAUGGAGGGAAAGUUAUUCAACAGAGAUAGCUCAAGACAAAAGAAAAUACAAACCAAGAGCAGUGCACAACCAGCGACUGGCAAGACUAAGAGGUAAGAAACAAGCUUCAAUCAAAAUCGACAAUAUUAUACCUCAUGAACCUGAUAUUUUUGUUAAGCACGUGAACAGGACUAAAAGUAACACAAAUUUUACCAGGGCAAAAUCAAGGAAAAGGGAAAGAACACUAGAUAUGUGAGCUCUAUUAUAAGUGUGUUUUUUAGAAUGAAGAAGACCAGACAUUACUAACAUUUAAUUGAUGCUAAAUUAAAAAACUUUAACAUGACAUCGGAAAGGAUAGAUAUGGAAAUUCAGAACCUUGGAUAACCAAUAUGCAAGUGUGAAUGAUGUGGUGCAGCCUUGACUGUGAGUGGUACAACAGAAAAUAGAAAAGGACUGGAUAUCAUUGUUCAGUACAAAGACAGGACGCCAAGAAGAAUCUCAGAGAACAAUCCUAAAUUCAUGGCCAAGAAGUAUCCAUUAUUGUUUCCCUAUGGAGAAGAUGGUUACAAAGAAAAUUUACCUUAUACAUAUCAAAAGAAGAUGCAUAAUGCAAGAGAAAGCAUGUAACAAUGCUAGAAUACUAUGUGUAUCAUCUACAACAAAGUAUAAACCAACUGAUGCACUUGAUGAUGUGUGAAAAGCUUACAUUGCAGUUCAUUAUGGAUGUCCUUGCAUGCAUUUUGAUCAAAAGACAUCAAGGAAACCUAAGAAUGGAAUUAUAUGUUGGCUUGCAAGACGCAACAGAGAAAGGAGAUACAAGGGCUGACCAAGUAGGAGGGAGGAUACUGCUGCCAUCAAGCUUCAUAGAUAGCCCCAGAUACAAAGCAAAAAACUACCAGGACGCUAUGACAAUAUGUCGAUGGAUUGGAUAUCCCAACGUAUUUGUGACAUUCACGUGCAACACAGUUUAGUCGGAAAUUCAAUCAAUGCUACAAGAACUAGGCCAAACAGCAUCAGAAAGACCUGAAAUUGUUGACCAAGUGUUCCACAUAAAGGUCAAGGAGUUCAUGAGAGACAUAAGAGAAAGGGGAUACUUUAGAAAAACACUCGCAAGUAAUACCCAACUGCUUGAUCACACCUCUUACUAUUUCUCUAUAGAAAAAUAACUAAAGGUUAUUUUAAAAUUGCAGUUAUAUACACAAUAAAGUUCCAAAAAAGGAAUCUCCCACAUGCCCACAUAGUCAUAAAAUUCAAGACAAGUUGAUCCAUAAUGAUAUGUAGUGGUUGAGAACUACAUGUUGCAUGGACGAUGUGGCAUGGUCGACAACACAUGUAUAAGAAAGUUCCUAAAAAAUAUGACAGCAAUACCACCGUAGGUGAAGAUGGAUAACCAGUAUAUAGAAAACAAGAUGAUGGAAGAUACAUAUAGAAGUGGGAAAUAUCAGGCACACACAAGUUUUUUUCCGAGAAAACGCAAAUGGCUUUUGCGUUUCAUUGCAUUGGAAAGAGAGUGAAUUUACAUCCUCCUAGGAGGCAGUUUUUACACACAACCAACAGAGGCUCAGUGAACAUCCCAGGAUGAUGGCAAAACGACCCUGAGCCCUUGAGCUCCAGCCUUUGCCCAACAUCUGGUCUCGUCUUUAAUCCUGUCUACAAGCUCAUUCAGCGAUGGGUUCACAUAGUCGAAAACACACGCAUUUCUAUGCUUCCAAAUCAUCCACGGCACCAAAAGUGCCACGGAUUUGUGCCCCUUGCGAAGCGCUGGCGGUGUGAAUUCCUUUGCGCGCAGCCACCAAUCCAUGAGCGAGCCGUUGUGCUCGGGCGCCGGCGCCGGCAAGCGCAGCCAAGAUAGGACCUCAUGCCAUGUCUGCUUAUUGAAUGGGCAUGUGAGCAUCAGAUGCCCGAUCGUCUCCGGUUCCUGGUCGCACAGAAGGCACCGUGGGUGGUGUUGCCGGCCACGACGUGCAAGUCUCUCCGCGUUCAGCAGCGAUCUUGACAUGCCAGCCAGUGGAAGAACUUCACCUUGGGCGGUGCCCAGCUCCUCCAAAUGAGCUUCCAGGAGUGGCAGCCCGUCGCACCCUGGAAAGUUGCCCGGUAGCAAGACUGGGCGGUGUAGACGCCGUUGGCUGUCCAGCUCCAGAGCAGCCUGUCCGGCUCAUUGGACAACUCGACAUGCUGCACUAAGUGCCAGAGCUUAAGGUACUGUCCAAUCUCUGGGAGGCCGAGCAGACCAUGGAUGCCACGCGCCCAGCUGUUGCCGGCCAGGGCCUCCGCCACCGUUCUCGAUUUUUGGCGUUGCUUGGGGAUGCACUUGAGAAGCAUGGGCGCGAGCUCGUGGACGGAUUGGCCGCCAAGCCAGCGAUCCUCCCAGAACAGGGUUGUCCUGCCGUCUCCAAUGGCCAUGGUCGUGGAGGCAUAAAAGAGCGCACGCUCCUCCGUCGUAAAUUGCAGGUCCAGCCCCUGCCAAGCUCGAUUUGUGUCCGUGCGCGUGAGCCAUAGCCAGCGCAGCCUAAGUGAUAGCUCCGUGCGCUCGAGGUCCCGGAUGCCAAGGCCGCCAUAUUCAAGCGGGCGGCAAACCCUGCGCCAGUGACGUGGCAAUGUCCACCGUGGGCGUCCGCGCGGCCGGCCCAAAGAAACCCGCGCUGAAUCUUCUCUAAUUGCUUCAGGGUUUUCUUUGGGGGUGCAAGCGCUAGCAGUUGAUGGAUCGGUAUUGCAUUAAGCACCGACUUGACGAGCGCUAGCCGUCCCGCUUUGUUCAUCAGCCAAGCUUUCCAGGAAGGGAGCCGGCCCGCCACCGCGUCGACGAGGGGUUGCACCUGUGCUACGAAUGGGCGGCGAGUGGAGAGCGGGAUGCCCAGGUAAGUGACCGACAGGGCCACGACGGGGCACCCGAGUGGCUCCAGCAGCCCCUCACCGUAGUCGCCGGCGUGAAGGACCGUGGCCGAGCUCUUGGCGUAAUUCACUCGGAGCCCAGAAGCCGUACCGAACACGUCCAAGAUACCUUUGACGGCGGCAAUCUCCUCGGUAGUGGCAUGGCAGAAAAGCAUCACAUCAUCGGCGUAAAGAGAGAUCGCCGGAAUGGCUCGCCGGGGAUGCAGCUGCUGAAGGAUGCCGGUCUGUAGGGUGUGUCGCAUCAGCCUCCCAAGGGUGUCCACCGCCAGCACGAAGAGUUGUUGGGAGGCACACACAAGUUAAGGUAUGCAACAGAUCUCUAUCGAUAAAAUACCUUUAAUAUAUAUAUAACUAAAGGUGAUAACCAAGCGACAACGCUAAUAGAAAACGAUAAGAUCAAUAGGUGCCUCAAGUACACGUACAUAUCAGGCAAUGACGCGAGUUGAAGAAUAUUUCAGUUCAAAAUACACUUUUGACAUCCCUGCAUCGAAAGGUUGCCUUUCCACCUGGAGAAUGAGCAACAAAUCAUUUUAUCUGAUUAUGCAGGUUUAACAAAGAUCGUAAGGAAAGAAAGAGUGGGAAUAACAAAAUUUACACAGUGGAUGGAGACAAACAAGAUCCUGUGAAGCAAGAGAAUUAACAUAUGCAGAGUUCCCGUUAAAAUGGGUAUGGAAGAAAAAAGAGAAAAAGUGGAGCAAAACAAAGAAAGGAAGGUCCAUUGGAAGGAUAUAUUAUGCUCAUACAGCAAAUGCUGAAAAAUACUACAUGCGAAUGCUACUUAACGCCUGCAAAGGAUGCAUGUCUUUCAAAAGGAACCGUAAAUGGAGUUGCCCACACUUCAUACAAAUCUACGUGCGAAGCACUAGGAUUUCGACAACAGAGUGGAUUGAAUGCAUAAAUGGGUCAUUGGACUGGGUGAUUGGCAACCAGCUAAGACAACUGUUCACAACUCUUAUGCCACUGAAGUCACAAGCCCAAAAAUAUUGUGGGGGACAUGCUCAGAAGUUGUAAGCGAACACAUGGAGUAUAGGCAGAGAAGACUAUUGAACUAUCCUACACUUUGACUAACAGAUACACAGAAGCAAGGAUACGCCUUGAUGAAAGUAUAGAUAAGCUCAUGAGACAAGCUGGAAAGACAUUUAAGGAAUACCCCGGAACACAACAUCCGGAUUCUUCACAGAUAAAGGAACUUGGAAACAGACUGCUCAAUGAAGAGAUGAAUUAUAACAAAGAGGAAUGAAAAGAACAUCAUUCCAGGAUCUUUGGCAAUAUGAACUCUGAACAACUACAUGCAUUUGAUUCAGUAAUGGAAUCGAUGAACAAAAAUUUGGGAAAGAAUAUAUUUGUGGACAGCUAUGGCAGGAUAUGUAAGGCAUACCUACUGAGGCAAUCACAACAAAGUUGUGUUCCGAAGGAAAGAUAGUACUAGCAGUGGUUUCACCGCAUAUUGCAGCGCUGCUUCUAUAGGGAGCACACUCGAGGUUCCACAUCCCCCUAUCCUUGCAGAAGAGUCAAGAUGUUAAGGUUCCCAC